rnacentral:rRNA from 1 species
UACGUAGGAGACGAGCGUUGUCCGGAGUUACUGGGCGUAAAGGGUGCGCAGGUGGCGGCGCGCGUGGGGGGUGAAAUCGCUCGGCUCAACUGGGCGGGGUCAGCGGAUACGGUCUCACUUGAGCAAGCUAGGGGGCAAGUGGAAUUCCCGGUGUAGUGGUGGGAAUGACGUAGAUAUCGGGAGGAACACCAGUGGCGAAGGCGGUUGCCUGGGGCUUUGCUGACGCUGAUGCGCGAAAGCGUGGGGAGCAAACAGGG